GACACGGUGGCACAGUGGUUAGCACUGUCGCCUCACAGCAAGAAGGUCGUGGGUUCGAAUCUCAGCUCGGGGCC
rnacentral:tRNA from 1 species